UACGAAGGGUGCAAACGUUGCUCGGAAUUAUUGGGCGUAAAGCGCACGUAGGCGGCUUGGCAAGUCGGAUGUGAAAUUCCUCGGCUCAACCAAGGAAGUGCAUCCGAAACUGCCGAGCUUGAGUACUUAAGAGGAUCGCGGAAUUCCCGGUGUAGAGGUGAAAUUCGUAGAUAUCGGGAGGAACACCAGUGGCGAAGGCGGCGAUCUGGGAAGAUACUGACGCUGAGGUGCGAAAGCGUGGGGAGCAAACAGG
rnacentral:rRNA from 1 species